rnacentral:lncRNA from 1 species
CUCUUUGUGCACCCGCCCACACGGUUUGCCGUGUUUUCACCCUUCUUUGUUCUCCACCGGUCUGGGCAGGGUCUGAGGACUCCGGAGAGCAAGGCAUGGGUCCGCCUCGUGCCGCAGGGUGAGCUCUGAGGACUUCACAGGGGCCCCAUCCCCUCACCUAGAUGAGGGCUAACCUUGGAAUCCAGACAAAGGUGGAAGUGACCUAGAUGUGACCUGAAUGAGCUAAUCAUCUAAUGAGAGCCAGCCCUUUGUCCUGCCCACAUGAAGGUGGGUGGUUAGCUCACUUUUCAGGGUAAUAAAGCAGUAAAGGCGGGGUGGAGGGGUUGUUGAAGGCUUUGUAUGAUGUCACUAGGGCCUGUAAAGUUAGCACAAUGAACCCGCUGUGCAGAUUGUAAAGCUGACCUUGUUGGAAUAUCCUGGUUUUAGAAACACAUAAAUCAGCUUUGUGUUUGCUGUUCCCCUGCUGAAAAUGUUCUUCUGAAUUUUCAGGGCUUUGCUGCUACGCACUGACAAGUUGGACGGCUUUUUAUUGCUUUGUUGCCAGUUAUCUGAACAUGAGAGGCUGUAAGGUGUAAUCUGCGAGCCCUGCGCCCAGACUGAACCAGGGCCUCCCUUGAACAUGAGUAUUAGACAAAUGAAAUAAGAACUUAUCUUGCCCAGACUAUAUAAUGGCUUGGAAAUGCAUAGUUUCCUGAACGAUCUCAAUAAAAUACUUUUAAAAGUA